CGUAUGAUAUCGCAGCCAGCCCGCAUCCCGUCUGGUUUGUUGCGGGCGGCCUGUGUCUUAACACAGCGCAAAACUCCUUACCGGAUUUU
rnacentral:ncRNA from 1 species